GUGACGAAGCGACGCCGCGUGGGUGAGGAAGGCCUUCGGGUUGUAAAGCCCUGUCAGGAGUUAAGAAAUGUAAGUGCGCUAAUACCGCAUUUAUUUGACGAAGGCUCCAAAGGAAGUCACGGCUAACUCUGUGCCAGCAGCCGCGGUAAUACAGAGGUGGCAAGCGUUGUUCGGAAUUAUUGGGCGUAAAGAGCACGUAGGUGGGUUUGCAAGUCAGACGUGAAAGCCUCCUGUUCAACGGGAGAAUUGCAUCUGAAACUGCAGAUCUUGAGUAUAGGAGGGGAGAAUGGAACUUCUGGUGGAGCGGUGAAAUGCGUAGAUAUCAGAAGGAACGCCGGCGGCGAAAGCGAUUCUCUGGCCUAUUACUGACACUCAGUGUGCGAAAGCUAGGGGAGCAAACGGGAUUAGAUACCCCGGUAGUCCUAGCCGUAAACGAU
rnacentral:rRNA from 1 species